UGAAGAAAUGAUAGCAGAACUUGCUGAGGAAGCGACUUCACCCGAAAGUGGUGAUGAACAAGCUUCAUUUCCACCACCGCCAACACAACCACCUCCAAACCUUGACGGAUUUAUGAGAUUUGUUAGAAAUACAACAUAAAUUAUGAUGUAACUUGUACAUUGGCACGUCUUCUUUUAGUUUUUUUCCUUUUAAUAGGGGUAUUAGUACCAUGUUGUGCUCAUUCCAUUGGGGGAAGGAAGAUUAAGAAAGAUUUGCCAUUUUGGUCAAUAAAUAUGCUCUUUAUCAUAUCCUUGAAUAUCUUUUUUCUCAAUAUUUCUUUGUCUUUACUUCGAUAUCAAUCCUUGAAUAUUU
rnacentral:lncRNA from 1 species